UUAAUCAUCUCCCUAUUUCCCAAAUUAUAAAAUUAUAAAGAAAUUGUUUUUCCUGAAAGAUUAAAUUGAAUCGUAUUACGCUUUCCAAGUAAAUCAUGCCACCAAAAUCAAGAAAGACCAAGGCUUCACAACAACUUCGAAAAGGAGCUAGUGGUGCUGCCAACCAGAAUGACUUACUUAUUAUCCAGGCUCUUAUACUUAGAUCUCAAUAAACCUUCGAACCUGAUUGAGAUUACUACCUAGAACAGCUGGGAUUUCGAAUCAAUUCGCAAGCUGUCCAGACUGAUUUGUCUAAGGUGUCUAACGCCCUCGAAAAGGCGGUAACAUGUGGAUUUAUUCAGAUCAUAAACGAAGGCUUUUACCUCUUUCCCAUAACCGUAACUGAAUCUAUAAAAACUGAAAUAUUUAAUGAUAGCUUGCGUCAAGAUAUUGCCAGAGACUACGAUCCCGCUAGGUCCAAACGAAUCCGGCGCAAGCUCCCGAACACCGGCACCACUAUUGCGGGCCUUACGAUCCGUGAUGGCGUCAUCAUUGCCACCCACAUCAGGGAGACAAGCGGCUCCAUGAUUCGCACAGGUCGUUCAAAGAAAAUAUUUCGCCUGCACGAUAACAUCUAUGCAGCUGGAGCUGGCACCGCCGAUGAUAUAUGUAGAUGCCGUUGCACGUCUUCUUCGGGCACAGCUUAACCAUAUUCGGAUGACAAUGUGCACAGAGGUGCCAGUUGUGCGCGCUAAACAUAUAAUUAAAAAGCUGAUUUACCGCUUUAAGCACGUAAACAGGAUGAACUGGAUAAUCGCCGCCGUAGACAGGGGUCGAGCCUCGAAAGCCUCGCUAGAAAGAAAACCUGGACGAAAAGGAAGCGACGCGCUUGAUUAUUGAUGCGGUUCGCGCUGCCAUCUAGACCGAUCGUGGCACACAGAGACAAGACCGUCCGGGUCUACCGUCCACUUCUGCGUCAUCCGCAAUGACUACGUGGUAAGGCAGGGAUACAACGUCGUCGUCGAGAUUGCCCACCGUAUACGGUACAAGAGGGUGUCUGGGAAGUAGUUCACAAACAAUGGACAAAAAAAA
rnacentral:sRNA from 1 species